UACAGAGGGGGCAAGCGUUGUUCGGAAUUACUGGGCGUAAAGGGCGCGUAGGCGGCCUUCUAAGUCGAACGUGAAAUCCCUGGGCUCAACCCAGGAACUGCGUCCGAGACUGGUGGGCUCGAAUCCGGGAGAGGGAUGUGGAAUUCCAGGUGUAGCGGUGAAAUGCGUAGAUAUCUGGAGGAACACCGGUGGCGAAGGCGACAUCCUGGACCGGUAUUGACGCUGAGGCGCGAAAGCCAGGGGAGCAAACGGG
rnacentral:rRNA from 1 species